UGAGAUAUGAAGAUGAUUCAAUUGUAGAUAGAUGCUGAGCCACAGUUAUUCCAAUAAAGGAAGUAAGGCUCCCAAUAUGCUCAUUUAGUCCUUCAUUUGCUCUUUUUCCAAUUUGAGUAUUUUCCGAAAACAGUACUUCAAAAAAUUCUAAGUUUUCUAUAUCCAUUUUGGCACUGGCUAGCAAAGGGAAUGCAGAAAGUCCAGCAAAAUAAGUUGUGGUAUUCAUGCCUCCCUUUUAUCAACUUUUAUUUACUUAAA
rnacentral:misc_RNA from 1 species